rnacentral:rRNA from 1 species
CGGCUCAGUAACACGUGGCUAACCUACCCUCGGGUGGGGGAUAACCUCGGGAAACUGAGGAUAAUACCCCAUAGGAGAAGAGGUCUGGAAUGAUCCUUCUCUGAAAACAUAUGUGCCCGAGGAUGGGGCUGCGUCUGAUUAGGUAGUUGGUGGGGUAACGGCCCACCAAGCCUACGAUCAGUACGGGCCUUGAGAGAGGCAGCCCGGAGAUGGGGACUGAGACACGGCCCCAGGCCCUACGGGGCGCAGCAGGCGCGAAACCUCCGCAAUGCACGAAAGUGCGACGGGGGGACCCCAAGUGCUUACGCACUGCGUAGGCUUUUCUAAAGUGUAAAAAGCUUUAGGAAUAAGGGCUGGGCAAGUCCGGUGCCAGCAGCCGCGGUAACACCGGCGGCCCGAGUGGUGACCACUUUUAUUGGGCCUAAAGCGUCCGUAGCCGGUCCAGUAAGUCCCUGUUUAAAUCCUACGGCUUAACCGUAGGGCUGGCAGGGAUACUGCUGGACUUGGGACCGGGAGAGGGCGAGGGUACUUCAGGGGUAGCGGUGAAAUGUGUUGAUCCCUGGAGGACCACCUAUGGCGAAGGCACUCGCCUGGAACGGG